rnacentral:rRNA from 1 species
AGCAGCAGCCGCGGGAAUACGUAGGGUGCAAGCGUUAAUCGGAAUUACUGGGCGUAAAGCGUGCGCAGGUGGUUAUAUAAGACAGAUGUGAAAUCCCCGGGCUCAACCUGGGAACUGCAUUUGUGACUGUAUAGCUAGAGUACGGCAGAGGGGGAUGGAAUUCCGCGUGUAGCAGUGAAAUGCGUAGAUAUGCGGAGGAACACCGAUGGCGAAGGCAAUCCCCUGGGCCUGUACUGACGCUCAUGCACGAAAGCGUGGGGAGCAAACAGGAUUAGAUACCCGUGUAGUCCCUGUCUCUUAUAC